AGAAGUUAGUUAAAUCUUAUAACAUAAAUCUGUCAUAUUUAAAUCGUCCUUUCAGACACUUCUU
rnacentral:tRNA from 1 species